rnacentral:rRNA from 1 species
CACGCCCUAAACGAUGCUCACUAGGUGUUGGGGAAGCGAUUCCUUGGUACCGUAGCUAACGCGUGAAGUGAGCCGCCUGGGGAGUNACGCGAACAACCUUACCUACCCUUGACAUGUCCGAGAGCCUGCUGAAAGGUGGGUGUGCCCGAAAGGGAAUCGGAACACAGGUGC